GGGGGAGGUUGUUCAUCUCAAACAGAGAGACAGGUGAUAUAAGGACAACAGAAAUUCUCAGAGUACUGAAAACAGAGGAAGCACAGCAGGGAUACGUAGGGAGAGAUGGGACAUUCCCAUACAACCAUCCAUAAUAC
rnacentral:lncRNA from 1 species